GACGAACGCUGGCGGCGUGCUUAACACAUGCAAGUCGAACGGAAAGGCCCUGCUUUUGUGGGGUGCUCGAGUGGCGAACGGGUGAGUAACACGUGAGUAACCUGCCCUUGACUUUGGGAUAACUUCAGGAAACUGGGGCUAAUACCGGAUAGGAGCUCCUGCUGCAUGGUGGGGGUUGGAAAGUUUCGGCGGUUGGGGAUGGACUCGCGGCUUAUCAGCUUGUUGGUGGGGUAGUGGCUUACCAAGGCUUUGACGGGUAGCCGGCCUGAGAGGGUGACCGGCCACAUUGGGACUGAGAUACGGCCCAGACUCCUACGGGAGGCAGCAGUGGGGAAUAUUGCACAAUGGGCGGAAGCCUGAUGCAGCAACGCCGCGUGCGGGAUGACGGCCUUCGGGUUGUAAACCGCUUUCGCCUGUGACGAAGCGUGAGUGACGGUAAUGGGUAAAGAAGCACCGGCUAACUACGUGCCAGCAGCCGCGGUGAUACGUAGGGUGCGAGCGUUGUCCGGAUUUAUUGGGCGUAGAGGGCUCGUAGGUGGUUGAUCGCGUCGGAAGUGUAAUCUUGGGGCUUAACCCUGAGCGUGCUUUCGAUACGGGUUGACUUGAGGAAGGUAGGGGAGAAUGGAAUUCCUGGUGGAGCGGUGGAAUGCGCAGAUAUCAGGAGGAACACCAGUGGCGAAGGCGGUUCUCUGGGCCUUUCCUGACGCUGAGGAGCGAAAGCGUGGGGAGCGAACAGGCUUAGAUACCCUGGUAGUCCACGCUGUAAACGGUGGGUACUAGGUGUGGGGUCCAUUCCACGGGUUCCGUGCCGUAGCUAACGCUUUAAGUACCCCGCCUGGGGAGUACGGCCGCAAGGCUAAAACUCAAAGGAAUUGACGGGGCCCCGCACAAGCGGCGGAGCAUGCGGAUUAAUUCGAUGCAACGCGUAGAACCUUACCUGGGUUUGACAUGGAUCGGGAGUGCUCAGAGACGGGUGUGCCUCUUUUGGGGUCGGUUCACAGGUGGUGCAUGGCUGUCGUCAGCUCGUGUCGUGAGAUGUUGGGUUAAGUCCCGCAACGAGCGCAACCCUUGUUCACUGUUGCCAGCACGUUAUGGUGGGGACUCAGUGGAGACCGCCGGGGUCAACUCGGAGGAAGGUAGGGAUGACGUCAAGUCAUCAUGCCCCUUAUGUCCAGGGCUUCACGCAUGCUACAAUGGCUGGUACAGAGAGUGGCGAGCCUGUGAGGGUGAGCGAAUCUCGGAAAGCCGGUCUCAGUUCGGAUUGGGGUCUGCAACUCGACCUCAUGAAGUCGGAGUCGCUAGUAAUCGCAGAUCAGCAACGCUGCGGUGAAUACGUUCCCGGG
rnacentral:rRNA from 1 species